rnacentral:rRNA from 1 species
UACGGGGGGUGCAAGCGUUGUCCGGAAUUAUUGGGCGUAAAGAGCGUGUAGGCGGCCCGAUUAGUCCGCUGUGAAAGUCCAGGGCUCAACCCUGGAAUGCCGGUGGAAACUGUCGGGCUAGAGUCCGGAAGGGGCGAGUGGAAUUCCUGGUGUAGCGGUGAAAUGCGCAGAUAUCAGGAGGAACACCAAUGGCGAAGGCAGCUCGCUGGGACGUGACUGACGCUGAGACGCGAAAGCGUGGGGAGCAAACAGG